GAAAUGCGAUAAGUAGUGUGAAUUGCAGAAUUCAGUGAAUCAUCGAAUCUUUGAACGCACAUUGCGCCCUUUGGUAUUCCAAAGGGCAUGCCUGUUCGAGCGUCAUUUGUACCCUCAAGCUUUGCUUGGUGUUGGGCGUCUUGUCUCCAGUUCGCUGGAGACUCGCCUUAAAGUAAUUGGCAGCCGGCCUACUGGUUUCGGAGCGCAUCACAAGUCGCGCUCUCUUCCAGCCAAGGUCAGCAUCCACAAAGCCUUUUUUCAACUUUUGACCUCGGAUCAGGUAGGGAUACCCGCUGAACUUAAGC
rnacentral:misc_RNA from 1 species